GGAAUCUUCCACCAAUGGACGCAAGUCUGAUGGAGCAACGCCGCGUGAGUGAAGAAGGGUUUCGGCUCGUAAAGCUCUGUUGUUAAAGAAGAACGUGGGUAAGAGUAACUGUUUACCCAGUGACGGUAUUUAACCAGAAAGCCACGGCUAACUACGCGCCAG
rnacentral:rRNA from 1 species